UACGUAGGUGGCGAGCGUUGUCCGGAUUUACUGGGCGUAAAGCGCGCGCAGGCGGUUCUGUAAGUCCUGGGUGAAAUCGCCCGGCUCAACUGGGCGGGGGCCUGGGGGACUGCGGGACUGGAGGGGCCUAGAGGCCGGUGGAACUCCCGGUGUAGUGGUGAAAUGCGUAGAUAUCAGGAGGAACACCUGUGGUGUAGACAGCUUACUGGACCAUUUCUGACGCUGAGACACGAAAGCGUGGGUAGCAAACAGG
rnacentral:rRNA from 1 species